AUAAUGUUUUAUUAAUAAAAUAUCACAUCCAAAAAUUACUGCACCAAAAUUUUAAAAAAAUCUACCAUAUAUGACAUCACAACUCCUUUCGAAGCAGAAUUAUAAGCAUAAGUAUUUCUCAUUCUUAAUGUAUAUGCUUUAUGUGACAUCAUAACCCCUCAUUUUAGUGCAGAGUUACAAGCAUAAAUAUGCAAUCUCUUUAUUAGAGAUUAAUUUAAACUUUCUACAGGUCGUGGUAAUUUUAGGUUUCCCAUAUGAAAAAGUUGUCAGCUUUGACCAAGCAAAUUUCUCCCAACGAGUUACAAGAAAAUUAUCAUCUGACAUCACCCAUAUACCUAAAUGUCUAGACCUCCUUUGGGAGCAGACUAAACAUAAUGUUAGGGUGCAAUUUUUACAUGUACCUUAAUGCGAUUAAUUUAUCCUUUCUUCUGACUUAGUGCUGCAUGAUUAACAUGAAAAUUAUCCGAAAGCACUUCUUUAAAGUAAAUUAACUCAUUAUUUCUUUUAAUUAAGACUGUUUUGGUUUCCACCUAACCAGUCGAAAUAAUAAUUUAAUUUAACUUAGCACCAACUUUUAAAUAAUCUAAAAU
rnacentral:lncRNA from 1 species